GCAAAGGGGGAGGAGAGGAAAAUGUUCUUCCAAUUACUUUCCAAUUCUACUCCUUUAGGGACAGCUUAGAAUUAUUUGCACUAUUGAGUCUUCAUGUUCCCACUUCAAAACAAACAGAUGCUCUGAGAGCAAACUGGCUUGAAUUGGUGACACUUUGUCCCUCAAGCCACCAGACGUGAUGGUGUUCAGAACUACCUGGAUCUGUAUAUACCUGCGCUUGUUUUAAAGUGGGCUCAGCACAUAGGGUUCCCACGAAGCUCCGAAACUCUAAGUGUUUGCUGCAAUUUUAUAAGGACUUCCUGAUUGGUUUCUCUCCUCCCCUUCCAUCUCUGCCUUUCUUUCAUUUCAUCCUUUCCUUUCUUCCCCUUCCUCCCAGUUCAUCCUUUCUGUUCCAGGCAGCUGCAGUGCCCAACCAUAUACCAAGCUGGCAAUUGUCAGCUCCAGCCCCUAGAACUCUCCCUGCCCUUUGCCGUCCUGCUGCCAGUACCAGCCCCACCCUGUUCUGAGCCCUGAGGAAGCCUUGGGCUCUGCUGAGUCCAACCUGGCCUCUCUAUGAAGAGCAAGAGAGCAACAAGGUCUUGCUUUCCUACAUAGCCCCCUCUUCCCUGGUAAGAAAAAAGCAAAAGGCUUUUCAGACCCCGAACAAUGAGCCUUUUCACCCUUCUACUCUAGAGAAGUGAGCUGGAGAAGCUGGGCCAGAUUUCGUAGCUGAGGAAAGCACAGAGGCCCCCAGUGGCCUGCCAGAGUCAUCAAGUGGCCCAGCAGGGACUCCCUGCCUCCUUCACAUUGGCCUCACUCAGAGUUUAGCAUAGUGCAGCAGGACAAGUGGACCCCAGAACCCAAGCCAGGACCAGCACCUGGGCUCCCAGCCCCUCAUCUGCUCCUCCUUUUGUAAUGGAAAUGUUUUGCUUUUACUCACUGGAGACUGGGGCCAGAAAACCAGGCACUUCAAUAUCUGGUCCAUGGGUGUGGUGUGGGGUUUAGAGGGUUGGGCUUGCUAUGGGUUUUUAUGAUCAGUUUUCAUUUGGGAUCCCAUCUUUUUAACCUCUGUUCAGGAAGUCCUUAUCUAGCUGCAUAUCUUCAUCAUAUUGGUAUAUCCUUUUCUGUGUUUACAGAGAUGUCUCUUAUAUCUAAAUCUGUCCAACUGAGAAGUACCUUAACAAAGUAGCAAAUGAGACAGCAGUCUUAUGCUUCCAGAAACACCCACAGGCAUGUCCCAUGUGAGCUGCUGCCAUGAACUGUCAAGUGCGUGUUGUCUUGUGUAUUUCAGUUAUUGUCCCCUGGCUUCCUUACUACGGUGUAAUCAUGAAGGAGUGAAACAUCAUAGAAACUGUCUAGCACUUCCUUGCCAGUCUUUAGUGAUCAGGAACCAUAGUUGACAGUUCCAAUCAGUAGCUUAAGAAAAAAACGUGUUUGUCUCCUCUGGAAUGGUUAGAAGUGAGGGAGUUUGCCCCAUUCUGUUUGUAGAGUCUCAUAGUUAGACUUUCUAGCAUAUAUGUAUCCAUUUCCUUAUGCUGUAAAAGCAAGUCCUGCAACCAAACACCCAUCAGCCAGGUCCCUGAGCCCUUCUACCCGCUCUGCUAUUGACCUCCCGGCUUCACUUCUGACUCCUCCCCAGGAAGGGAAGGGGGAUCAGAGGAGCAGGCGAGUCCUUCGGAACUCCUCUUCCUCCAAGGACAAAAGGCUCCUGUCCCCGCAGCAGCCUCACACUCCCAGCACCCCCAAAGGACACCUAUCAUGCAAGUGCAGCAUCCAGCCAGGUUGUCACUGAGAUGCUUGUUUUGGUCAGUUGGGUUUUUAUGCAUUAUAUUUAGUCCAGUGAAAUGUGGCUCCUGGACCCGGUGUCAGGAGCUGGCUUCUUCAUCAGCCGAGUGUGAUCUGGUCCUGAUAAGAGGAGUGCAGGGGCCCACCAGGCUCUGCUGACACCCAUGACAGUUCAUUCAAGGGCUGACUGGGCAUUUGUGGUUGGGAACACAGCAUUUGAGGUGUCGUUUUCUUUCGAUUGGGCCCCCCCCCCACCUGCAGCUCCUUCACUCCCCGCUGCCUUUCCUUAGAGUUCCUUCCAAAGCUGCAGGUGGUGCCUGAGGCUCCUUUGGGUCUUCUCUCUUUCCCCGCUGUCUUCCCCAUUCCCUCUUCUUCCCCAAAUAAAGGCAGCACGGUUUAUCACCCUGGCAGGCAGGGGCCCUAUAGGUCCCAUGCUGCCCCUGCCUCGGGGUCAGGUUGACAGGAGG